UCUAGUAUUUCUCUGAUUGCCCUUAAGGUUAACACAUUCAUGACUAGUGAUAUGGUUGCAAAUACAACUGUAAUCCUCAGGGUGUGAAUGAGUUCAUGAUUCCAGAUAUGCAUUAGUAAAAGAGUUAGUGAUAAAUCUAAAUGAAGGAAGGCAGACAAAGAAGCAUUUUUAUAUGUAUUUUAUUAAUGAAACGUUGAGAUAAGAGAGAUGAGUCUGUGACCAUGAGUGGACAAUGAGCAAACUUGUCAACACGGGAAUAUAAAAAGCUUAGCCCUGCAUUAUCCUUCAGGGCAAGCUGAAAGGGACUUCCUUAGUGUGGCAGAGAUCUGGUUGUUCCAUAAAAAGCCUAGGACUGAACCCCCGGAAACCAGAGCUGUUGGAAAAAAACCUGCUAUUCAUCAAAGAACCACUGAAUCCAUAAAGUUUUGGGAUGACAUUCUGUGUACUGUUCGAUAUUUUUGUGUUCUGUAUCAGUGGGGAAAAAAAAAAAAAUAG